rnacentral:sRNA from 1 species
UCUACGACGAAGAUUCGACCUGAUGGCGCU